AUAGUUCCUCGUUAGGUGAGGCUCCUGUGACGGAGAUACGCUGCUGCCCAAAAAUGUCCAAAGACGCCAAUGGGUCAACAGAAACCAUCGACAUAAGGUGGUUUUUAAUGUAGCUGGAAUGAUGCAUUCCUAUGCCGCACAGUGCUAAAGCUCUACGAAUGGAGGAUGAG
rnacentral:sRNA from 2 species